CGUCCCAUUUCACAGACGUUUACUUCCGGCCUACCCGACCUCCUGAGGACCUGGCCCACGUAGACUGCGAAGGCCGGGUCCUCAGGAGGAUGCAGCCCAUUUGGACACGACUCACAAAAAAUGAUCGAACACGAACAACAUGCUGCUUCAGACACUGAUCCUCCCGGUGGAAGUGCACCUUCUUUCCCUCCUUUGGAAGAUUAUUAAGGUGGAGGACUGGCAUGAGAGGGGUAAGAGGUCCGAGUGAGGCGGUGAUGGUUCCAUGCUGGUGAUGGUCCGUGGUAUCCGGUAACUGUGGCAGGAACAGAAGUGAGCAUGAGCUGUGGAGGAAGAGCUGCAGAGAAAACUGGCGUCCAAAUGAAGACAGUGAGCAAGAAGACGAUGGUCUCCCUGAGGAUGGUGUGAGGAUGAGGAGAGGACAGAUUUCUUACAUUUCAAUUCUUUACAGUUUUUGUCCUUCGUGCUUUUGAACCAUCACACCAGGAAAGCUGAUUCUUUUUGUCUGUUUCUGAUAAUAAGACGUCGUGUUCAGCUGUCUUUAUCAUGCAGUGUAGUAAACAUGUUUCAGUGUGAAUGUUAGAAAGAUGAGAUUUUACUGUGAAGCUUUUUUAUACCAAGGGAAUCAUAAACACUUCAGUGAUGUAAAUAAUUCUCUCAGAAGCUGGAAACUCCAAGCAAAACUCACUGAACCAUAAAUAACUGUAGAUUACAAUAUGAUGAGAAAUGAGGGCUGAAAUGUGAGGAGGUUUCAGACUGUGCAGACUUAUGGACGUAUCAUAGAUUUGGAUUAAAUGUGGUUUAUGAAAAGUUCAUGACUGGUUUGUAGGUUUCCCCUCAUUGGCUGUCUGACCUGCUGACUUACACAGGUCAGCUUCACUG